rnacentral:tRNA from 1 species
GGAGGGGUGUCCGAAUGGCAAGGAGCCGGUCUUGAAAACCGGUGAAGGGCAUUGCGCCUGUCUGGGUUCGAGUCCCAGCCCCUCCGCCA